CGAUUGGGCAGAGCCGCACCCAACCCUAGCCUCCAAUGCACAACCACCCACUCCUCCCUCACCUCCCUCCCACAUCCGCCGCACCCCUCUCUCUCUCUUCCUUGUGUGUGCGUGGCGACGGGAGCGUAAGACGCAAGGAAGGACGAUGUCGUCGCCCCGUCGCCUAGGCACCAUGGCGGCGCCCACCGCGCGGGUUGGGGCUGGGCAGAAAGCCGGCGCCUACGUGCCAAAGUAGCGGGGUCGACCGUGGAGGGUGGCUCGCCAGCUAGAGCAGUAGGAGCAAGGAGGUCGUUGAGCGGCAAAUGCGGGCAGGGUCGGUAGUGGAUGGAGGCUCGCCGCCCGGAGCAGCAGGAGCAAGGAGGACGAUUUGGUUCAGAUAUUUGACUGCAUUACUGAAUCUUCUAGGGUUCGAGCAGCAGCUGAGCUUAGAUCGAAUCAUGUAUAUAUUUGCAGGGCAAGACAGGCACAUUAUUUGGAUCAUGAACUUACAGGAUGGUUUCCCCCGCCACAACCAUUGUAAUCAUCCUGCAUUCCCCCGUCAAGCGUGCAUCGGUGCUGGAUAUGCAAGCUGCAAUAGCGCAUCAACGGGCAGGCAAGAGCAAGAAGAUGGUCACGAUUUUUGCCAAGCAGUGGAAGACAAUGUUAACUGAAGCCAAUUUUGUUGGUCAUGGAUUUACAAGAAAACCAGUAGAGUAUGAAAAUGUUCUCAUGGAACCCACCCUGACUGAAAUCUAUCUUCAACCUUGCUUAAACUGAAAGCAAUGCAUGGUAUUGUUCAAUUCGAAGUGUACUUGACGUGUGCAGAUCUAAGGAUGAAGGGAAGAAGACAAAAUUUAGCUGAAGAGUUGAAUAAGAUUAAGUCUGCUUCAGUAAUGCUGUGGCAUGCCGCAAAACAACAACAUUUUUGCUGCUGCGAUUUGGUCCAUCCUGUGCAUUUCAGUUCCUGGUGCUCUCCAACGUUUGUCAGCUAAUGCCACCAGGAGGGCUGCCCACCCAAGACUUGUAAUGUGGGCAUCGGUACUGUCCUUUGACAUAUUUGGAAGUCACAUAAAGAUGUCGUUUCAACUCCUUCAGGUGCCAGGCCAAGGAUGUUACUCAUCGCUGCUGUGAAGACCUUGCGGUGUGGUGUUGGUUGUUCACAUCUUAUACUAGAAUAUAUAAAUUGAGCAUCAUGUCUGCAUCCAUGCUAUUUUUUGGUUUCUGUAAUCUAACCACCAAUAGUAUGAUAUAUAGGAUCUCUGGACAAACAACCACAAUGGGAGCAUUGUUUGGUGCAGCACAUACAAUAGCCACUACAAUGACCAGUGAAGCUGCAAAUUAACCUUGGAGAGUAUGGAAUAAUGAAUGCAAUGUAUUGUCUAUAGUUCCAACUCCUAAUGUCAACUUAAUGUCAACCUCGUGUGUCAGUGCUUUACAAUGGAUGAGAAAAGGUCAAAAACCGUAACUGAAGCUUUUGUCAGGUCGUAUAAAGAUGGCCUUAUUUACAGUUUAAAGCUGUAGGCACAGGCUUGCGGUAGGGGAAAAUCAUUGCCAGUCGAAAACCAAAAUGUUUAUUUGUGAUUAUGAUCAGGACUGCGCUUAUUCUGAAAUGGCGACGACCAAUAAUAUAAUGAAGUUCCUUGCUUAGAUGGUUGGUUAAGUCAUAGGUACAACAAGGAAAGGGCCAGCAAGAAAAUUAGCCAAUAAUUGGUUGACUGGUUUAACCCUAGGGAGAAGGUGGCUAAGAGGGCUUCUGAAAAGGGCCCAGGCUGAGGCUGAGGGGGAAACCGUUGAGUCCAAGAAGCUAAUUGCUCUGAAAUAUGGUCUUAGCCAUGUCACUUACCUCAUCGAGCAGAGCAACCCUCAGCUGGUCGUCAUUGCUCAUGAUAUUGACCUGGUUGUGGUUCCCAGCCCUGUGCAGGAAGUUGGGAGGUCCCAUACUGCAUUGUUAAGGGAAAAUCACACCUUGGAUUGACCGCCUCUGUUCUCUGCCUUACCACUGAAGAACGAGGACAAGCUUGAAUUCAGCAAGAUCUUGGAGGCUAUCAAAGGCUAACUUCAAUGACAAGUUCUACGAGGUCAGGAAGAAGCGGGAGGUGGUGUUUUGUGAAGCUCGCCGUUUCAGAGCCAUAUGAAUUUUUUAUAGAAACAUGAGUAGAGUAAAAUGGGCACAGCUUCUGGUACAUGUGAGGUACAGAAUCGUCAAUCUUUGUUGAAUGUUGUAACAUAUUUACAACUGGGUUCAGUUUUGAAUCAGAUAUAAAAACCAUUCAAGUUUCGGAUAGUUAUAUGAUGUGGCAUGUGCAUGCUUUAUAGUCACCUUGCAAAUUUCAUGAUGUCGCAUAGAUAUUUCUGUAUCUAUAUGAAUGUCGGACCCUGUGUAUAAAGGGGCUGUGCAGGACAAAAUGCUAUGGAUCCAGAGGAGUGGGAGGGGAGAGUUUAUCAACAACACAUCAAGGAGAAAGCGUGACGUGGAUUCCAAGUUCCAGCUAACAUAGCAAAAUUGUAUAUAGAGAAUGCCUGCAUUUUGCUAUUACAUAGUUUGGGGCUAUGUUUCUUUUAAUUUUCAUUAUUAAAAGGAUCCUUAUCAUUGCCAAAUUAUCAAGCAUUUAUUUUCAAAUAACUCUUGGUUUGAAAUGGGACCUUGCUCCAUUUGGCGCAAUGAGUAAUGUUAUUAUAUGUCUUAUUGUAGACAAGAAGCAUCCAUUCUUAUUGUAGACAGGAAGCCUUUGUUC